rnacentral:rRNA from 1 species
CAUGAAGCUGGAAUUGCUAGUAAUGGCAGGUCAGCAUACUGCCGUGAAUACGUUCCCGGGCCUUGUACACACCGCCCGUCACACCAUGAGAGUUGGAAAUACCCGAAGCCUGUGAGCUAACUUAAAGAGGCAGCAGUCGAAGGUAGAGCCAAUGAUUGGGGUGAAGUCGUAACAAGGUAAC